ensembl:misc_RNA 7SK 7SK RNA
GGAUGUGAGAGUGAUCUGGCGGCAACAUCUGUCACCCCAUUGAUCACCAGCAUUGAUUCGGCUGUCUAGACUGGUGCCCCCUUCCUCCCUCACCGCUCCGUGUGCAUCCCUCCAAAGCUGUGCGCUCGGUCGAAGAGGACAACCUUCCUUGAUAGAGGAGAGGACUGUUCUUUGGUCAAGGGUAUACAAGUUGCUGUGCUCCCCUGCUAGAACCUCCAGACAAGCUCUCAAGCUCCAGUCAAGGGCAGUUAAGCUUCCAAGACUCCAGACUCGUCCAAAUGAGGUGUUGCAUAUGGCAGUCUGCCUUUCUUU